AUUGAACGCUGGCGGCAUGCCUUACACAUGCAAGUCGAACGGCAGCACGGGUGCUUGCACCUGGUGGCGAGUGGCGAACGGGUGAGUAAUACAUCGGAACGUACCUUAUCGUGGGGGAUAACGCAGCGAAAGCUGUGCUAAUACCGCAUACGACCUGAGGGGGAAAGCGGGGGAUCGCAAGACCUCGCGCGAUUAGAGCGGCCGAUGCCUGAUGAGCUAGGUGGUGGGGUAAAAGCCCACCAAGGCGACGAUCAGUAGAUGGUCUGAGAGGACGAUCGGCCACACUGGGACUGAGACACGGCCCAGACUCCUACGGGAGGCAGCAGUGGGGAGGUUUGGAGAAUGGAGGCAAUCCUGAUCCAGCAAUGCCGCGUGAGUGAAGAAGGCCUUCGGGUUGUAAAGCUCUUUUGUCAGGGAAGAAACACCGGCUCUAACACAGUCCGGGAAUGACGGUACCUGAAGAAUAAGCACCGACUAACUACGUGCCAGCCGCCGCGGUAA
rnacentral:rRNA from 1 species